rnacentral:rRNA from 1 species
CCUAGCCUCAAACUAUGACUCAAUACAAAACACCAUCCGCCCGGGAACUACGAGCCCCAGCUUAAAACCCAAAGGACUUGGCGGUGCCCCACCCACCUAGAGGAGCCUGUUCUAUAAUCGAUAACCCCCGCUUAACCUCACCACUUCUUGCCAAUACCGCCUAUAUACCACCGUCGCCAGCCCACCCCGUGAGGGAAAUAGUAGGCACAAUGAUAAGUCACCAAAACGUCAGGUCAAGGUGUAGCGUAUGAAGUGGAAAGAAAUGGGCUACAUUCUCUAACCUAGAGCACACGAAAAAUCAUAUGAAAUUAGAUUAGAAGGAGGAUUUAGUAGUAAAAAGAAACAAUAGUGUUCUUUUUAAGUUGGCCCUGGGGCGCGCACACACCGCCCGU